CCUACGGGGGACAGCAGUGGGGGAUAUUGCACAAUGGGGGGAACCCUGAUGCAGCGACGCCGCGUGGGUGAAGAAGCGCCUCGGCGCGUAAAGCCCUGUCAGCAGGGAAGAAAAUGACGGUACCUGAAGAAGAAGCCCCGGCUAACUACGUGCCAGCAGCCGUGGUAAUACGGAGGGGGCAAGCGUGAUCCGGAUUUACUGGGGGUAAAGGGGGCGCAGACGGCGAUGCAAGCCAGGAGUGAAAGACCGAGGCCCAACACCGGGACUGCUCUUGGAACUGCGUGGCUGGAGUGCAGGGGGAGCAGGCGGAAUGGCUAGUGUAGCGGUGAAAUGCAUAGAUAUCAGGAGGAACACCGGUGGCGAAGGCAGCCUGCUAGGCUGCAACUGACGUUGAGGCACGAAAGCGUGGGGAGCGAACAGGAUUAGAUACCCCGGUAGUC
rnacentral:rRNA from 1 species